GCUAUAUAAGCGAACGGAGAAGAAGAACAAAAGGGGUGAAAAACGCAAGGAGAAAAUACGAUACCAGAGAACACAGUGACAACUACAACUUGGGAGACCAAUUGGAGGGUGAUUCAACUGGCUUUGAUCAUCAUUCAUCUACAAUUUUAUGUGUGUUUACAAGCGUAUUUCGGACGAAUGGCUGAAGAAGCAGUCUCCGCAGAAGCAGUACAACGUGCUGAAAUUCUUGCAGCGGCUUAAGUUCUGGAAGCAUGAUAAUAAACCUUAUAUGGAUGGUGGUUUCUCAGGACCUACUCGCCAUGGCAAGGCUAAACAGAGCAUCCAGAUGUAAAAUCAGUAUUCCUAACUGGAAAAUGUACACCCCAAACAACCAACUCAUGGAUUUUCCUUGGAUUGGGAAAAAAGGAUAAUGUUCUCGAGGCCUCAUUAUGGCGAAAAACAUUUGGGGAAGACAUAAUCAUUGCAAACAUAGACUCAGGUGUUUUGCCCGAAUCUAAAAGUUUUAGUGAUGAAGAUAUGGGGCCGAUCCCAACUAGAUGGCGUGGAAUUUGUCAAACUGGCAAAGACAAUUCUGAUAAUUUUCAUUGCAAUAGGUUAGAACUGUCAAAACGGGCGGCUCUGCCAUAUUUCGGGCCGGUCCGGUCGGGCUUCGUUGGGCCGGGCUAAAAAGCCCGGAUAAAAAACGGGUAGUCGGGCUUUCGGGCCGACCCUUUUUUUUUUUUUUUUUUUACUUCUA